rnacentral:misc_RNA from 1 species
GGACCAGAGAAGCACCAAGCUGUGGCACUUCGUGUUAGCGCAGACCAAUCAGUCAUUAACCAUUGUCGCAUUGACGUAUACCAAGACACCUUCUAUGCACACAACUAUAGACAGUUCUAUGGAGAUUGCUCCAUAAUUGGAACCAUUGACUUCACAUUUGGUAGUGCAGCUGUUGUUCUCCAGAAUUGCCAAAUUAUCUCUAGAAAGCCUAUGGCAAACCAGAAAAAUAUGGUCACUGCACAGGGUGGGAUAGACCCAAAUCAAAACACUG